UGAAGAAAAAAACAACAACACAAAAAACAUAUUUGUGACCCUGGAUCACAAAACCAGUCUUAAGUAGCACAGAAACAUUUUUUAGUAAAAUCCCAAAAUACAUUGAAUGGGUCAAAAUUAUUAUAUUAUUAAAUAUUAUAAAGACUUUAUUUUGUGAGUGAAUGGACUCAAGUUUUCUCAAUAUUCAGAUUCCAGAGUUGUAUAAUGUGAUUGUCAAAUGUGAUGUAGAGUUAUUUGUUCUGUGAAAUAGUGGCUAACUUAAAACAAACGUGUUUAUCAGCCAUCUGUGUCCGGUGGUGUUAACAUGCAUCCAAACUGUGUUUAAAGACAUUUUCAAUUUGUUAUCUUCCAUUUUAUUUUAUGCACUUUUCCAGUGUGAAUUGUUAGGAAACAUUUGAGAGAACAGUAUGCACAAAGUAAAAAAAUACUGAAAUUAACGAAAUAUGUUUAUUAUAAUAUACUGAUAUACUGCACAUGAAACUAUUUUUUGCUCUACGGAUUUUGCAUAAACUAGUAGUAUAAUAUUAGCCUACCAUUAGCGUCAUAUGUUUAUUAAUGCACAGCAACGUUACCAGGGUUACCUUCAUACGAGUUAAGCACCACAUCAAACAGCAAACAUGAACUAAAACCAUCAUAACUUGAAAACCAUAAACAUAAAUACUUAGUUUCACAGCGUCUAUGAAGAAAACGGCUCCUAUCACUUUAAGCACAAGUUCGAAGCGCUGAUAACAUAUCGUUAUGACGUCAUCUCAGAGGCUAUAUAAAGACGCGCUGAGCAUCGAAUCUUCAGUUGUUCUGUGACAAUCGCAGCGUUCGGCACGAUAUCAUCAGAGCACUGACCGAAGUCAACAAACUUACUGUUUACUUCGAUACUCACAACAAAUGUCAAACAUCUCGACCCAGAAGGCUGUUGGAGCGACAAACGUCCCUGAGGACACGAUGAACCGCAGUCUGCCAGGUUCCUUACUAAAAUGUAUUCUUCAGAAGGAAACUGCAGGCGUUUAAAGGAGCUGAGAGGAACGGAGGGCCUGGUGAACCAGUCGUGGCCGAACCUCAGCCCGAGGUGGAUUUAACCGAGCCGACUAAAGGUGAGUCCACGUGUAAUGAUACAUUGUCAUUGUAUUUAUGGGAUUCAUUUUGGACAAUUAGCAUUGUGUAUAUUUACAUCUUUCUUUUGUGUGUUUUUCAGUUCCAUUUGAUUCCAUGUAUGAUCUACAUGGGAAGAAGCUGCGCAAUGGAUCUUUUGUGGCAACUCGGCGAUCCGAUGUAUAGCAGUCUACACUGAAUUAAACAUGUCAAAAAAAACAUUAGCGUUUUGAUUAAUAUUGAAAUGUGACUUAUGCCAUGAAAGAUUAAAAUUAGUUUUUUUUCUUGCUAUAUAAUUUAUGUCUUGCAUUUGUUGUGCUGAUUCACAGCACUGCUAUGAAUGUUUAUAUAUGUCUGGAGGUUAAUUGAUGAAGUGGCUCUGAAUGUAUUGUUGUCAUGACGACAGAGAAGCCAGCACGUUCAGCAGUUGCAUCGCUGGUUCGAGGAACAACGAAAAAUCGUCCUGGUGUAUGAAAAUCCCUCCACGUGGUUGGAGAAAUACGUCAAGAACAGCGGUGGUCGCCUACAUGAAGCCGAGGCUCGGGGCCUAGUCAAACAGGCAGCUGAAGGAGUUAAACACUCCCUGGACCACGGUGUAUUUCACGAGAAGGUCUUCGACACAAACUUCUUCAUAGAAGAGAAGACCAGAACGCUGAAAUUAAGCCUCUUUGGCGAUGAAAAACACAUCACCAGCGUCUAUGAAAUCAGCCGAUUCAAGGGUAAGCGUGAGCACUUGUGUGCUGUGAUGAUCUCUUAACUAUGUUAACAGGACGAGCCAUGGACCGUGAAAACCUGAAGGCCGACAGAUACUACGCAGAAUUAGCAACGGUUUGGUCUCUUGGCACACUGGCGUAUGAGAUGAUUCAUGGACACGAGAAAAAAAAGGGCAAAGAACCCAAGCUGGACUCCAGUUUAUCCAGAGAAUGUCGUGACUUCAUCAGCGAGUGCUUGCAGAGAAAUCCACUGCACAGAAUGAGUCUGAAGGAAUUGAUGGCACAUGAGUGGAUAAACGGAGUCGAGGAAGGCCCAUCAGACCCAGACGUGUCUGAGCCCGUCCCACGUCCAUUUCAUGUGGGACACACGGCUGAGGUCGAGUUACCUGGGCCAACUACAGCACCACUUGAUUCCACGUAUCAAGUAAAUGAAAAGCAGAUGUUCGAAGGAGCUUUUAUGAUGACUCGAAAAUCUGCUGGCAGAAGAGUAAGUGUCAUUUUUCACAUGCUUUAUUUUUUGAGCCCUAACACAUAGAUCAAUGUAGACUGGAUAAAACAAGAACAAAAUAGCAUUUUGUGUCGGAGCCAGGUGGUCGAGUGGUUCGUGCUCCGACAUGUGGCGCCGGUGAGUCCUGGGCGACCAGAGUUUGAGUCCCGGCUCGUGGUCCUUUCCCGACCCUACCCCCCCUCUCUCUCAUCCACUUUGCUUCCUGUCCUCUCUGAAAAGAGUCUCUCUCUGUCAAAUAAAGGCAAAAAACGCCAAAGAUAAAUCUUAAAAAAAAUAUAUAUAUAUAGCGUUUUGAUUAAUAUUGAAAUGUGAUCUGUUGAGCCAGAAAGAGGCAUCCUGAGGUAGAGUUAACCAACCGAGCUGAAAUUAAGGAAAGGUAAUCGUGCCGCCCAAUUCGCAUCAUUUCCUUCACCCGGAGCGAGUUCACAUCUUCACGUUUGGCGCAUGUCAAGCCUUCAUACGAGUAAAGUAAUUCCACAUCAAACAGCAAACUAAAACCAUCAUAACUUGAAAACCAUAAACAUAAAUACUUAGUUUCACAGCGUCUAUGAAGAAAACGGCUCCUAUCACUUUAAGCACAAGUUCGAAGCGCUGAUAACAUGUCGUUAUGACGUCAUCUCAGAGGCUAUAUAAAGACGCGCUGAGCAUCGAAUAUUCAGUUGUUCUGUGACAAUCGCAGCGUUCGGCACGAUAUCAUCCGAGCACUGACCGAAGUCAACAAACUUACUGUGUUUACUUCGAUACUCACAACAAAUGUCAAACAUCUCGACCCAGAAGGCUGUUGGAGCGACAAACGUCCCUGAGGACACGAUGAACCGCAGUCUGCCGGGUUCCUUACUAAAAUGUAUUCUUCAGAAGGAAACUGCAGGCGUUUAAAGGAGCUGAGAGGAACGGAGGGCCUGGUGAACCAGUCGUGGCCGAACCUCAGCCUGAGGUGGAUUUGACCGAGCCGACUAAAGGUGAGUCCACGUGUAAUGAUACAUUGUCAUUGUAUUUGUGGGAUUCAUUUUGGACAAUUAGCAUUGUGUAUAUUUACAUCUUUCUUUUGUGUGUUUUUCAGUUCCAUUUGAUUCCAUGUAUGAUCUACAUGGGAAGAACCAUUUGAGCAGCUGAAGGAGUUAAACACUCCCUGGACCACGGUGUAUUUCACGAGAAGGUCUUCGACACAAACUUCUUCAUAGAAGAGAAGACCACAACGCUGAAAUUAAGUCUCUUUGGCGAUGAAAAACACAUCACCAGCGUCUAUGAAAUCAGCCGAUUCAAAGGUAAGCGUGAGCACUUGUGUGCUGUGAUGAUCUCUUAACUAUGUUAACCGGACGAGCCAUGGACCGUGAAAACCUGAAGGCCGACAGAUACUACGCAGAAUUAGCAACGGUUUGGUCUCUUGGCACACUGGCGUAUGAGAUGAUUCAUGGACACGAGACCAAAAAGGGCAAAGAACCCAAGCUGGACUCCAGUUUAUCCAGAGGAAAGGAGAGAUGUUCUUGCCCUGAAUACAAGAUUCCUGAAAAAGGCAGUUCUCAAGAAAUGAGAUAAAGCACCAAGCCUGUUGUGAGACUUUAAUUUUGUGUUAAACAUUUUAUUAAUUUCACUGUAUUUACCCUAUAGUUUGUAGGGAAUAAUGAGUUAUGAUUUUCACAUUGUAAAUAAACGUAUAUAAUAUGUAGUAUUGUGUCUUAUUUGAAUGCUGAAUUUUAUUCAAGCUCCAGCAUAUUCCAAUGAAUAAAAUUAUUUUACUAGUGAACUUCAUAUUUUAAGAUUAACGUGACUUGUAUGCUUGUAAAAAUCACAAGCAAAUUAUACAAAUUAUAACAGGAAUACCACAACAUCCUCCAAAAAUACAACAGACAAAUCAGCUUUAACAGACAUUACUGCAGAAAUAUGACAGUAGUACCACAAGAAUAUAACAGGAAUAUUAAACAAAAGAAUAUCCUGUGAUAAAUACUGCAGAAAUAUGACCGUAAAACCACAAAGUACCACAAGAAUAUAACAGGAAUAUUAAACAAAAGAAUAUCCUGUGAUAAACACUGCAGAAAUAUGACCGUAAAACCACAAAGUACCACAAGAAUAUAACAGGAAUAUUAAACAAAAGAAUAUCCUGUGAUAAACACUGCAGAAAUAUGACCGUAAAACCACAAAGUACCACAAGAAUAUAACAGGAAUAUUAAACAAAAGAAUAUCCUGUGAUAAACACUGCAGAAAUAUGACCGUAAAACCACAAAGUACCACAAGAAUAUAACAGGAAUAUUAAACAAAAGAAUAUCCUGUGAUAAACACUGCAGAAAUAUGACCGUAAAACCACAAAGUACCACAAGAAUAUAACAGGAAUAUUAAACAAAAGAAUAUCCUGUGAUAAACACUGCAGAAAUAUGACCGUAAAACCACAAAGUACCACAAGAAUAUAACAGGAAUAUUAAACAAAAGAAUAUCCUGUGAUAAACACUGCAGAAAUAUGACCGUAAAACCACAAAGUACCACAAGAAUAUAACAGGAAUAUUAAACAAAAGAAUAUCCUGUGAUAAACACUGCAGAAAUAUGACCGUAAAACCACAAAGUACCACAAGAAUAUAACAGGAAUAUUAAACAAAAGAAUAUCCUGUGAUAAACACUGCAGAAAUAUGACCGUAAAACCACAAAGUACCACAAGAAUAUAACAGGAAUAUUAAACAAAAGAAUAUCCUGUGAUAAACACUGCAGAAA